rnacentral:rRNA from 1 species
UGGGGAAUUUUGGACAAUGGGCGCAAGCCUGAUCCAGCCAUGCCGCGUGCGGGAAGAAGGCCUUCGGGUUGUAAACCGCUUUUGUCAGGGAAGAAAUCUUCUAAGUUAAUACCUCGGGAGGAUGACGGUACCUGAAGAAUAAGCACCGGCUAACUACGUGCCAGCAGCCGCGGUAAUACGUAGGGUGCAAGCGUUAAUCGGAAUUACUGGGCGUAAAGCGUGCGCAGGCGGUUUUGUAAGACAGAGGUGAAAUCCCCGGGCUCAACCUGGGAACUGCCUUUGUGACUGCAAGGCUUGAGUGCGGCAGAGGGGGAUGGAAUUCCGCGUGUAGCAGUGAAAUGCGUAGAUAUGCGGAGGAACACCGAUGGCGAAGGCAAUCCCCUGGGCCUGCACUGACGCUCAUGCACGAAAGCGUGGGGAGCAAACAGGAUUAGAUACCCUGGUAGUCCACGCCCUAAACGAUGUCAACUGGUUGUUGGGAAGGUUCCUUCUCAGUAACGUAGCUAACGCGUGAAGUUGGACCGCCUGGGGAGUACGGCCGCAAGGUUUGAAACUCAAAGGAAUUGACGGGGUCAU